rnacentral:rRNA from 1 species
ACUACGGGUGGCAGCAGUGGGGAAUAUUGGACAAUGGGGGAAACCCUGAUCCAGCGACGCCGCGUGAGUGAAGAAGUAUUUCGGUACGUAAAGCUCUAUCAGCAGGAAAGAAAAUGACGGUACCUGACUAAUAAGCCCCGGCUAACUACGUGCCAGCAUCCGCGGUCAUCCGUAGGGGGCAAGCGUUAUCCGGAUUUACUGGGUGUAAAGGGGGCGUAGGCGGCAGCGCAAGUCUGGAGUGAAAUGCCGGGGCCCAACCCCGGAACUGCCCUGGAAACUGUGGAGCUGGAGUGCAGGAGAGGUAAGCGGAAUUCCUGGUGUAGCGGUGAAAUGCGUAGAUAUCAGGAGGAACACCGGCGGCGAAGGCGGCUUUCUGGACUGUAACUGACGUUGAGGCUCGAAGGCGUGGGGAGCAAACAGGAUUAGAUACCCUUGUAGUC